CGGGUCUAUCUGGGGCAGUUAAGUGAGAGUGAGGGAGCCCAGGGGCCGCCAGGGGCCUUAGCCCCUUGCUACGUGGCUUUGUGGAAAGGGUCCAGGCCUGACCCAGAUGAUUUCCAGGGCCAAGAUGCCAUGACGUCCUCCUCCUCAAAACUGCCCAGGGAACCGCAGGACCACCCCUUGCCCCUACCCCCGCCAAAGCUCCUGCAACGGUGUUUAGACUACCUGCUUUCCCGACCUGCGCGUCGUGUCUGGGAGGACUCCACACUUCUAAGAUGUCCAGAAUGGACUCAAACCUUCCUGCCCCUGCUUCCGGGCUCCGGGCUCCGAAGAAAGGCUCCCCGGGAGACAGAGGAGAAAUCAGCUGAAGCAGAACCAACAGAUGAUGGUCAGAAGCAACUCCGUGCAUGUACCUGUCUUCCAUGGAAAAUCUGGGUGACAAAGGUCACUGAGCCUCUGUGAUCCUGCGGAGACAGUCGGGUCUCAUUAACCCUUCUGUGGGUGUUUAGGAAAUGAGCACUGUGACGUUACAGUAGUUUGAUCUCUCUGAAGAACAGAUGCUAUAUAAGUCCAGUAAUUGCCACUUCCCGGUAUAUUCCCACAGGACACAGCCUCACUGAUGGCUGCCGACACACUGAGAAUUUAUAGAUAAUUAUUUUGAACAGCACCCGUAUAAUUUUAACAGCCCCAUGUAAUCUCAAUAUAUGUUAAAAAUCACUGCAAUGCAGAAAUUAAACAUAAAGAACCGU